ACGGGCGAGUAACGCGUGAGUAACCUGCCCAUAAGAGGGGGAUAAUCCAUGGAAACGUGGACUAAUACCGCAUAUUGUAGUUAAGUUGCAUGACUUGAUUAUGAAAGAUUUAUCGCUUAUGGAUGGACUCGCGUCAGAUUAGAUAGUUGGUGAGGUAACGGCUCACCAAAGCGACGAUCGGUAGCCGGACUGAGAGGUUGAACGGCCACAUUGGGACUGAGACACGGCCCAGACUCCUACGGGAGGCAGCAUG
rnacentral:rRNA from 1 species